rnacentral:lncRNA from 1 species
UUCAGAAACAGUGGCAUUUUGCUAGCAGUUCUUAAGAUGGCUCUUGGAGACAUUUUGAAGUCCUGGGUGGGUAGAAGAGAUAAUCCAGCCUGCCAAGUGCUACGCACUCAUUCCAGUGCCAAAAUACAAAACACACACCGACAGCUUUAAUGAGGAGGAACUGCAGAAGUGCAUUUCAGACCUAUCUUCCAAAUGAGGAAAACAGACAGUGGGCAGCAACCUGGCCUAAGAUUUGUGGUAAGCAAGGCCCUAAUUCUGCCUCUGGUCAGAUGGACCUCGAGAGCCAUAGGGCCUGGUUGAGUUAAUGCAACGUGAGUGCCUGGAAGUUUCUACUCUGAAGAACUGACUUUUGGCCUGAAUGUAAAUUUGUAUUUCAUUUCCACGUCUACUUGCUUCUAAUUCAUGAUAAUUGUCCUUUAAGGUGGUAUUGUUUUUGAGUCUUAGGCACAUCUCCUUUAGUAGCAUUUGUAUUCAGUGUUCUCUGGAUAUUGUCAGACAGUUAAAAUAUUUCUGUUGUGUCCUGUACCAAAAACUCCAGAUUGAUGUGAUUAGUGUUGCAUUUUUACAU